AAUUCUCAACCUUUCCAGCUUUUGCGAGCUUGGUCAGGCUUGGACAUGGAGGUUGCGGGCUUCACAGAAGUCGGCUCCUCUGAAAUGCAUUAGUGAAACCUUUGUUGAUCAUCUCUUGGUGUGAUAAUUAUCUACGCCACUAGAGUGUCAGCCUCAACUAGUUGAGAGGUUUUGCUUCUAACCGUCCUCUAAGGACAGCUUCUGACU
rnacentral:misc_RNA from 1 species